AUGGGGAGCCGGAUCCCUCUUCUUUUCUUUCUGCCUGGGGCAGCCGGCGUGGAGGUCGAGCCGGGUCGGAUGGCAGGCGGCCGCGGCGGAGGCGACCGGACGGGGUGGCGGAGCCGGCUAACAGCGACCGGAGCCGGCACGCGGGCGCGCAGCCAGGCGGGAGCGAUGCGAGGCAGCAGAGCUGCUGUCGGCGCGGGGCAGCGCCAGGCCAGCCGGAGUGGCGGAGGUGGCGACGGGGCAAGCCGGCACGGGGCAACGCAGGUGGGUGGAUGGAGCAGCCGGAGCGGCCAGGCAUGGGACUCGGCGUCCGGGUGCACCGCGCGAUGUAGGCGCGACACGUGGACGGAGGAGUCCGUGAUGCGGGCAGGUGGCCGGGUGGCCCAACCGGCAGGUCGGACUCGGAGCCGACGCGGAUCCAGCAGGCGGGUGCGGGAGCCGGCCCGGUGUGGUGCGCGGAGGCGGACCGACGAGGUGCGGGAUUCGGCGAGGGGAGCAGUCGGCGCCGGCCACGAGCGCUGGGAACCCGGCGCGGAAGCGGCGCAAGCGGGGACGCCCGGCCGAGCCGGCACGGAUGCCGGUCGCGGUGGUGAGGGGCGCAGCUGGCGCGGCAAGCCGCCGGCUGGGUGGAGCAGAAGCCGGCAUGGGGCCUGCGGGCUCGCGGGAGCUGGCCGUGGCGUGGAGACGGCGAGCCGCACGAGGGCGCAGGAAAAGACGAGGCCAGGCGCGGGAGAGGCGACGCGCGGGGCGGCCCGAGCCGCAAGCCGGGCGAGGAGGGGCGCCGGAGCAACUGCUGCGCGAGGCACGCGGGCGAAGUGCUGCGGCAGCUCGAGGCAGGCCGGACAGCUACGCGCAUCUCGACGCGGUGGUGGAGCAGAGUACGGCCGCGGGCGAGAGUCGCGCGUGAAGCAGUACGUACGCAAGUAG
rnacentral:rRNA from 1 species